UAGUAUCCUAAACUGAUGGUAUGUUGGAGACCUGCGUGUUCCAAUCUGCAAAUCUUCUUAACAUAUGUAUUGACUGUUUGAACUACUUCUCAAUAAAAACAGAUUUAAAAAAAAAAAAAAAAAGACAACUCUGUUCCGCAGAGUAGCUGUUGACAUUAUAGUUGCGCAGGAACUUUGUUGACUCUAGAGAACCUCGGGCAAAUCGCACAUCCCCGUGGCGGCGACUUUGCAUGCGGAUGCCAUCCAUAAUAACUUUCAAUGCCAGUUUCUGCGCCUACCAUGGUGACAACGGGUAACUGGGAAUCAGGGUUCCAUUCCGUACAGGGACCCUGAGAAACGGCUACCACAUGCAAGGAAGGCAGCAGGCACGCAACUGACCCACUCUCGACGCGGGAAGGUAGUGACGACAAAUAAUACAGGACUCUUUUGAGGUCCUGUAAUUGUAAUGAGUCCACUUGAAAUCCUUUAACUCUGAUCAAUUGGAGGGAAGUCUGGUGCAGAGCCAUUGACCCGUGCGUGCUGCAGCUGAAACUCCACUA